GAGAGAGAGACCUUGCAGAGAGAGAUAUCAUUGGUGUUCUCAGUCUUCGACUCCCAUAUCUGUUUCAUUCAACAAAUCAGCACGAACCCAGAUAUAUUUUUAACAUUUACAACAAAACUCACCAACCAAGUUCCAGUAAUUCAUCUAGAACUCCCCCUGCGUCACCAAUUCCAAGUUUAUAAUUUCUUUGGAAUAUGUUUCAGACUUCUCUCAAAACGUCUAUGGCGGCGAACCCAAAAAGCCACCCUUUUUAACCGAUCCAAAAGUUUCACCCUUUCCGACUCCCAAAACAACUGACUAUUUAUGGGUUGUUGCUGAUUUCGCUGCCCAUUCAAGCUUUACAGUAAUGGCCUCGAAUCCGGAGAACGAACCUAGGGCCUCGAGAGAGGUCGAGAAGCCGCCGAUUGAGCCCAUACGGCCACUUACGGUGGAGGAGAUGCGCGGCCAAGACAUUUGGAAUACCUGCGCCGUCCGCAGUGUCGUUAGUGGAGUUAUGGUGAAACAUAUAUCAAUCAAACCAACAAGGCUGUGGUGAUGGGAAUAAUCGUUCUAAGGUAUGUAUCUGAGUGUGAUAGUAUGCCUUUCGUGUACUCUUUGUCACCGUUGCUUUUUGCUUUUUGCUAAAUACUUUGUCAACUAACAAGGGGUUUGGUUAUGGAAUUGGUUGUGGAAUUGUAUAUAAAUGGUUAUGACGAAAGUUUAAUAUUUCAAAUGAAGGUAAAGUAUGUCGAUCUUCUCCUUUUGUCCAGUUUCAAUGUACUAACAGAAGCAGUUAUAAUAAGCAAUAUUUUCAACAAUAGUGUUGGUUUUUGUUAGCAACCUUUGCAGGGAGUCCACUCGCAUUGGAGUUCCUGAAAAUAUGAAAUUUAGAGAGUGCCGCAUUCUAUUCGUUAUACUAGACAAACAGGUUGUAGUUGUACAGUAUAAGUUAGAUUUCACAAUCUUUUUCAUGUCGAAGAUUAUCUACAAUAAGAUUGAUUGAGAUUUGUAUGCUUCUAAAUGCUAAUGGUUAGAGAAGGAUACAAAAUUGUACCUGUAGCCUGCCAUAAGUAUCACACUUUCUGUCUAUAAUUCUCUGUAAACUUUACUUCACUUUCUUCAAUUUUAUAUUGUGUACUCAAAAAUUAAAAAAAAAAAAUUGAAUUGAAGUC